UACGGAGGGUGCAAGCGUUAAUCGGAAUUACUGGGCGUAAAGGGUGCGUAGGCGGUUCGUUAAGUCUGUUGUGAAAUCCCCGGGCUCAACCUGGGAAUGGCAAUGGAUACUGGCGGGCUAGAGUGUGUCAGAGGAUGGUGGAAUUCCCGGUGUAGCGGUGAAAUGCGUAGAGAUCGGGAGGAACAUCAGUGGCGAAGGCGGCCAUCUGGGACAACACUGACGCUGAAGCACGAAAGCGUGGGGAGCAAACAGG
rnacentral:rRNA from 1 species